GAUGAACGCUAGCGGCAGGCUUAAUACAUGCAAGUCGUGGGGCAGCAUGAGUAGCAAUACUUGAUGGCGACCGGCAAACGGGUGAGGAACACGUACACAACCUUCCUUCAAGCGGGGAAUAGCCCAGAGAAAUUUGGAUUAAUACCCCAUAAUAUAUUUGAUAAGGCAUCUUAUUAAUAUUAAAGCUUCGGCACUUGAUGAUGGGUGUGCGGCUGAUUAGAUAGUUGGCGGGGUAACGGCCCACCAAGUCUACGAUCAGUAGCUGAUGUGAGAGCAUGAUCAGCCACACGGGCACUGAGACACGGGCCCGACUCCUACGGGAGGCAGCAGUAAGGAAUAUUGGACAAUGGACGAAAGUCUGAUCCAGCCAUGCCGCGUGAAGGAUUAAGGUCCUCUGGAUUGUAAACUUCUUUAUAUGGGACGAAAAAGGGCAUUCUUGUUCACUUGACGGUACCAUAUGAAUAAGCACCGGCUAACUCCGUGCCAGCACG
rnacentral:rRNA from 1 species